AAAUUAAUUAAAGACACAAAGCCUUAGAGAAGCUCAACUCAAGAAAAUCAGCCAUGCUCAGAGGCAAGCAGGGACACCGAGUGGACUAAUGCUUAUAGCCCUCUCACCCCAUACCUCAUGCUCCUGCUUAUAGACCUACGUGUAUAUCUUGCUUCCACUGCCUAAUUCUCAUUUCUUUUAGUCCAGUAUCCUUUCUAUAACUGGUCCACAUUCAUAGAGCCAAUUUCUUUUCCCUUGUCUUUCAAAAACUGUAUCUAAACACAUUCACGCAAUUCAGAGGACAUGGGGCACUGCUGGGAGACAUUUCUAACUUCUCCUAACUUGCUGGGCACAUCAGUAAAGCUGAGGAACUGCCCAUCUGAAUGGCAGCUUUAUUCCAAGGGAUUCCCCUUUGCUAGUGGGUUCCUGCCUCUUUAUCAAACCUUCUCCAUGCAUAAUUACUUGAGUGAACAAAAGUCAUACUUUUUAAAACAUGGAAAGAAUGUUCUAAAGUAAUUUCACAACAUGAUUUGUGAAAUGGAAUGGGUGAGCAGAUGGACGAUGGAUGGAUAAAUAAAAAAUUGCCUGGGCAGGUGGAUGAGUAGAAGAAAAAAAUCUAUCCUGUUUAGUCAGAUAUCUAUUGCAAUUGUUGUUUAAAAAAAAAGAAAGAAAGAAAAUAAAAAACAAUAGAGCACCUGGAUUUUCUUAGGCUUUUUUUUUUAAUUUUAAUUAGGUAUAUAUGACAGCAGAAUGUAUUUUGAUUCCUUGUACACAAUUGCAGCACAAUUGUACAAGAUGUAGCAUCGCACCAUAAUGUGCAGUCAUACAUGCAACUAGGGUAAUGAUGUCCAUCUCAUUCCUCUAUCUUUCCUACCCCCAUGCCCCCUCACCACCUUUCCCUCCCCUGUGCCCCAUCAAAGUUCCUCUAUUUUUCCCAUGUUCCCCCAAUUACAGAUCAGCAUCAACUUAUCAGAGAGAACAUUCGGCCUUUGGUUUUUUGGGAUUGGCUUGCUUCACCUAGCACAAUAUUCUCCAACUCCAUCCAUUUACCUGCAAAUCUGGCUUUUCUUAAUUUGUAUUAGGGAAGAAUGGUGGAGGAGGGAAGGGGGAAUAAGAUGAUUUGUUUUCAUUUCUUGCAAUACCUAAGAAGUAUGUGUAUUUAUUAUUAAAUAAAUAAAUAAAAGUCC
rnacentral:lncRNA from 1 species